UACAGAGGGUGCGAGCGUUAAUCGGAAUUACUGGGCGUAAAGCGUGCGUAGGCGGUCAUGUAAGUCGGGUGUGAAAGCCCCCGGCUCAACUGGGGAGGGUCACGCGAUACUGAUCGACUGGAAGGCAGGAGAGGGUAGUGGAAUUCCCGGUGUAGUGGUGAAAUGCGCAGAUAUCAGGAGGAACACCAAUGGCGAAGGCAGCUCGCUGGGACGGUACUGACACUGAGACGCGAAAGCGUGGGGAGCAAACAGG
rnacentral:rRNA from 1 species